AUAUUGGACAAUGGGUGGAAGCCUGAUCCAGCCAUCCCGCGUGCAGGAAGACGGCCCUAUGGGUUGUAAACUGCUUUUAUACAGGAAUAAACCUACUCACGUGUGAGUAGCUGAAGGUACUGUAAGAAUAAGCAUCGGCUAACUCCGUGCCAGCAGCCGCGGUAAUACGGAGGAUGCAAGCGUUAUCCGGAUUUAUUGGGUUUAAAGGGUCCGUAGGCGGGCUAAUAAGUCAGUGGUGAAAUCAAGCAGCUUAACUGUUUAACUGCCAUUGAUACUGUUAGUCUUGAGUGAAUUUGAAGUUGCCGGAAUAUGUAGUGUAGCGGUGAAAUGCAUAGAUAUUACAUAGAACACCUAUUGCGAAGGCAGGUAACUAAGAUUUAACUGACGCUGAUGGACGAAAGCGUGGGGAGCGAAC
rnacentral:rRNA from 1 species